rnacentral:rRNA from 1 species
AUUGAACGCUGGCGGCAUGCUUUACACAUGCAAGUCGAACGGUAACAGGUUAAGCUGACGAGUGGCGAACGGGUGAGUAAUGCAUCGGAACGUGCCCGGUCGUGGGGGAUAACGCAGCGAAAGCUGCGCUAAUACCGCAUACGAUCUGAGGAUGAAAGCGGGGGACCGUAAGGCCUCGCGCGAUCGGAGCGGCCGAUGUCAGAUUAGGUAGUUGGUGGGGUAAAGGCUCACCAAGCCAACGAUCUGUAGCUGGUCUGAGAGGACGACCAGCCACACUGGAACUGGGACACGGCCCAGACUCCUACGGGCGGCGGCAGUGGGGAAUUUUGGAGAAUGGGCGAAAGCCUGAUCCAGCAAUGCCGCGGGCAGGAAGAAGGCCUUCGGGUUGUAAACUGCUUUUGUACGGAGCGAAAAGGUCUCCUCUAAGUCAUGGGGCUCAUGACGGUACCGUAAGAAUAAGCACCGGCUAACUACGUGCCAGCCGCCGCCGUAA